AGAGAAUUGACCGAGGGGUUUAAGGUGAUAAGCUUGAAACUUAUUUAGUUUAAAAACUACAUCCGUUCAAAUCGGAUAUUCUCUG